CGUAGUUCUAUUUGCAACUUUGCAGGAUUAACAAUUGCUCGUAAAGUUUUUGAAAGCUUAAAAGGAGAUUCUUCUUUGAAUGUGUAGAAGAUAACUUACUGACCUAAAAAAAGUGUAGAAGAUAACUGUACAUGUCAGUGGCCUCUAAAAUGCAUCAUCAGGCAUAUGAGCCAUGGAUAAACAAACGGAGGCGAGGACUUUGUGGCUUCUUCGUUGGACGAUUCAGGUUCGUCGUCUAAAUGGAUGUUAAGAAGUUUCUUCAAUGCUCCAAAAUGGAAUCACACCAUUGGCAAUACCAGAAAAGCCUUCUUUCUCUAUUGAAAGAGAUGACGAUCAGAAAACGGAACCACCUGCAUUACCCUCAGAAGUUUGUUAUGUUAUGUUGAUGAUGCUACAAUUUCAACAUCAUCGCCCGAUGGCGGUAAUAACAGAGAAGAUUUGGCAAUGCUUGUAGCUGUACAAACACUUUAUUCGGUCUACAUUAUUAUUGAAAUCCUGGUUACAAUAUGGAAAAGAAAGAGAGAAAAAAGAUCAACAAUUAUAAUGUGGUUGCUAAGAAUACCAUUUGAUGAGACAGUUACUUGCGAGGGUGAGUGGUAUGAUCAGGAUGAGCAGUCCCACUUGCGACUUUGGCAACAUCUAAUGCAGAGGCUUCAGGCUUUUUCUUGGUGAACAACACAAAGUAACCAAGUGUGGCAACAAUAGCAGCACCACCAAUCGCCAUUCUAACCGGACAAAAUGGCAAUUUUGAACGCUGGUUUAGGACCUCUGUCGACUGCCGUGCUGCUUGAUCUGGCCCUGCCAUUGAUCUUCUGAACUGUAUAAUAUUGUUCUUGAACUAGUUUCUUCUGUUUGUGCUCUCUUUUCUAGCGGUGCUUGGUUUUUUUGGG